rnacentral:rRNA from 1 species
GUGUCAGCAGCCGCGGUAAUACGUAGGUGGCAAGCGUUGUCCGGAAUUACUGGGUGUAAAGGGCGUGUAGGCGGGAUCUAAAGUCAGAUGUGAAAUACCGGGGCUCAACUCCGGGGCUGCAUUUGAAACUUGGAUUCUUGAGUGCAGGAGAGGUAAGUGGAAUUCCUAGUGUAGCGGUGAAAUGCGUAGAUAUUAGGAGGAACACCAGUGGCGAAGGCGGCUUACUGGACUGUAACUGACGCUGAGGCGCGAAAGUGUGGGGAGCAAACAGGAUUAGAUACCCUGGUAGUCCACACUGUAAACGAUGGAUACUAGGUGUAGGGGGUAUCGACUCCCCCUGUGCCGCAGUUAACACAAUAAGUAUCCCACCUGGGGAGUACGGCCGCAAGGUUGAA